rnacentral:rRNA from 1 species
UGGCGAACGGGUGAGUAACGCGUGAGGAACCUGCCUCAAAGAGGGGGACAACAGUUGGAAACGACUGCUAAUACCGCAUAAGCCCACGACCCGGCAUCGGGAAGAGGGAAAAGGAGCAAUCCGCUUUGAGAUGGCCUCGCGUCCGAUUAGCUAGUUGGUGAGGUAACGGCCCACCAAGGCGACGAUCGGUAGCCGGACUGAGAGGUUGAACGGCCACAUUGGGACUGAGACACGGCCCAA